GGGCAUGUAGUGUAGGGGUUAUCGCGUCCGCUUUGCAUGUCGACUGAUUGUUGCGAUUAAUGCGGAAGGUCUCCGGUUCAAUUCCGGACUUGUCCA